rnacentral:rRNA from 1 species
UGUAUAAUUAAUAUAUAAUUUCUGCUCAAUGAAUAAAUUUAAAUAGCUUUUAUAACUAAGGUAGCAUAAUAAUUAGUAUUAUAAUUGAAUACAAGAAUGAAAGAAUAAAUUAAAGUAGUAAUUUUAUUUUUAGAAAUAGAAUUUUUAUUUUAAGUGAAAAUACUUAAAUAAAAUUAUUAGACGAUAAGACCCUAUGAAACUGAUUAAAUAAACUAUUAAAGUAUAAAAAAUUAUUUGGGGAAAAUUUUAAAAUAUUUAUUAUUAUUUUAGUAUAAAAGUGAUCUUUAUUAAAUUAAAUGAAAAAGUUACUCUAGGGAUAACAGCACAAUUUUUAUUAAAGACCAUAUUAAUAUAAAAGUUUGUGACCUCGAUGUUGAAUUAAGGAGGUUUGCGGGGGCAGAUUUUCGCAAAUUUUAGUCUGUUCGACUACACUACC